rnacentral:rRNA from 1 species
UACAGAGGGGGCGAGCGUUGUUCGGAAUUACUGGGCGUAAAGGGCGCGUAGGCGGCCCGCUAAGUCGAACGUGAAAUCCCCAGGCUCAACCUGGGAACUGCGUCCGAUACUGGCAGGCUUGAAUCCGGGAGAGGGAUGUGGAAUUCCAGGUGUAGCGGUGAAAUGCGUAGAUAUCUGGAGGAAUACCGGUGGCGAAGGCGGCAUCCUGGACCGGUAUUGACGCUGAGGCGCGAAAGCUAGGGGAGCAAACAGG